rnacentral:piRNA from 1 species
UGAGAGAGCCAAGUGUCUGCCGGUGU